GGCUGAUACCGCCCAAGAGUUCAUAUCGACGGCGGUGUUUGGCACCUCGAUGUCGGCUCAUCUCAUCCUGGGGCUGAAGCAGGUCCCAAGGGUAUGGCUGUUCGCCAUUUAAAGAGGUACGCGAGCUGGGUUUAGAACGUCGUGAGACAGUUCGGUCCCUAUCUACCGUGGGCGCUGGAAAUUUGAGAGGAUCUGCUCCUAGUACGAGAGGACCAGAGUGGACGAACCUCUGGUGUACCGGUUGUGACGCCAGUCGCAUCGCCGGGUAGCUAUGUUCGGAAGGGAUAACCGCUGAAAGCAUCUAAGCGGGAAGCCUACCUCAAGAUAAGAUUUCCCUAGGAAUUUAUUCCUCUAAAGAGCCGUUCGAGACUAGGACGUUGAUAGGUUGGAUGUGGAAGCAUAGUGA
rnacentral:rRNA from 1 species